UAGUGGUCCCUGACACUUUCCACCCAUUUUAGUUUGUCUUCUCCAAAAGUAAUUGUACUUUGAGGGGUUAAGAAAAGGCUAUUGAGGAGUCAGUUAAAAUGGAAAAUGUAAUUAAAGCUACCAUUUCCUUGUGUGUAUUUCAAAUGUUACUUUGUAGAUAAAUCAAGAAGGCAGAGCGCAGAGCUAUUUCAGUCAGCAGUCAAUAUACUCGGAUUUGCUGGUGUUAAUGAAGUAGACAACGGCCCAAUUAGAGAAUACAUAGUGGUGAUGUUCGUCUUCCCACAAGUGGUCAUUACCUCCCACAUGUUAACAGUUUGAAAUGAGCAACUGCAAGCAUUUUCUUUAAGGGAGAAAAUCUGAUCAACAUUUGGGGGGAGGUUGGGCUCCGUUGGUGUGAUUUGGGGUCAGUGACGUAAAAGAGUUUGGAGAAGCUUUGGAGUAAGACAUGUUUUUAUCUGCUUUGUGUAUAGAGACUGUAUCUAAGAUGCAAAGUUACACUACUAGGGCAGCUCUUAAUGUUUUAUAAUCACUUUGAGAUGGGAUAAACGUACUAUAUGUCAUGAACAAAGAGCAAGUAAAUUAGUUUUUUUAUAUAUAUAUAUAUCAUGACUGGCUUCCUUUUCUUGUUCAAAUGUUUGCACUCUCCCUUUGUUUUUAUUCCCAAACCCCCUGAGCCAUGAAGCCCUGGUGUCCAGGUCUGCUUGCUCCCAGGUUGAGGUAGUAGGUUGUAUAGUUGAGAAUUACACCCUGGGAGAUAACUGUACAACCUCCUAGCUUUCCCUGAGGUACGCAUGGCGCUUUGCACAGCUGGAUCAAUACAAUCCAAUGUUAUUACUGGAUGAGUCACACCAAAAAAAGAGAGAGAUAUGCUCCACAUGGUCAAUAACCGUCCAAGCCUUUUGCUGAUGGAGCAGGAGGGUUUCUACUUUAGGUCUGUGACACCACGCCUUUAUGUCAGUCCAUGGCAUGUGUGUGUACUUGUGCAUCUGGGGUCUUUGCUGAUAUUCAUGGGGUGAUGUAUACAAAUGACGAAUGUGAUAUAUGUGACCUUUUUACAUGGCAAAAUAUGAUCUUAAAAGAGAUGCUUUCAGUGUUUCCCUCGGAUUUUUGUUCUUGUCCAAUUUAAAAUGCCUCUUAAUUUGUAUACAUUAUUACCGCUGCAACUAACAAUUACUUUUAUUGUUGAUUAAUCUUCCACAUAUUUUCUCAAUUAAUUGAUUGAUUGUAUGGUUCAUCGAAUGUGAGGAAUGCCCAUCACAGUUUUCCAAAGUUAUGUCUUCAAGUAGCUUAUUUUAACAUGUAUUGUAACAACAGAUAUACACUUUAAUAACACAAAAAAGCUGCAAUUCACAUUUGACAAGCUGGAACUAGAUAUAAUUGGUAUUUUUGCUUGACAAUAAACAAUGAAUCGAUUGUCAAUAGAUUUUCUAAAAAUCAACUAUUUGAUAAAUCGACUAAUUGUUUCAGCUCUAAUUAUUUCUUAUAUAUCAUUGUAUUAUUAUGAUGUAGUGACUGUGUAUUAGAAGUGGAUUAGCUGAUGCCUAAUUAUUACUAAAAUCUCUCUAUAUGUUUGUGUGUAUUUUGACCUGUAAGAUGUGUGUUUAUGCGUGUGUCAGUUGUCAGCAGAGCAGUAUAUUCUGCUUUGGUCUAUUUUGAAGUCAGUAAAGUGUUGGUCUGUGUGUAGCAGGCAGGUAGAGAUCAGAAGCACUGCAUUGUUGCAGAGUUGAUAGGACUGACAUGUGAGAGCUUUUAACCGCACUCUGUGUUUGAAACAUCAGUUCCUUUCCAUUCUGAGGUGACAUUUUAUUAUUCGCUCAGUGAUAACCUCAUUAAUGCUGAUGGUUGUGUGGAAGAAGUCCGGCUGCUUCAGUCUUGUUGUUUGUGUGAUGACGGAUAGUGGUUGUAAAGGAUAUCAGACACAAAAGGAAAAAGAGUUUGCCAUUCGAACAUGAGCCUCAGACAGCAGCAUCCCAGUCAGUUUUUACAGGCAGCAAAAUCAGUUGGCACUGUGAACAAUUCUUGUCAUAAUAUUUCCAAUCAGCAGACGCAGACUGCGUGGAAAAUACAGCUGUCAAAAUAUCCGACAUGUGAAAUAUUGUGACACUCAGGGAGGCAUAGGAAAUCUGCUGAAAAUGAACAAUUACAGCAACACACAGAAACUUCUUGAAUUAAUACAACAUGACAUUGGGUUGGCUGUUUUAACAAAUGUAUUUGAUUAACUGCUGAAAUCCUUUAUUGAUUUUUUUUUCUCCACAUCCAAUUAAAUAAGUUUUAUUUAAACUGAAAUCCUACUGAAAUGAAUCACAGUGUCUACUGAGGCUCACAUCUGUCCUCUCACACCGGCUGACAGUUUACUAUCAACGAGAACUUGUUCCUUCCCUCUGCUCUCUUUAUUACAAGAAAUCUAGUAUUUUUGCUGUGAAUUUCCUGGCAGAAGUAUGGUAAAGAAGCUGGCCUGCUGGAUUUACAGCCACUAACACCAUCCCAGUGCAGCAGCAGCAGCACGUGUGUAUUAGCCUUCACAUGGUAUAUACUGAAAACAUACUGAGGCCUUUCAGUUACCUCCCUCCCCGUCUACCAGGAUGUGUGUGUGUGUGUGUGUGUGUGUGUGUGUGUGUGUGUGUGUGUGUGCGCAGUUGAGGUAAUAGGUAUAGGAGCAAAAGACUGCCCCCUGUUGUUUACCUUUGUGAAGUGUUCAGAUUUGGGUACUUCAAAUGAUGAAAAUAUGAAACUGUGAUUUUAUGACAUAUACGGCUAUGCUAAAGUGAGAUCUAACCUUAUGUGGUUUUUCAAUUACUGUGUGUGUGUGUGUGUGUGUGUGCCAUCUCUGUGUACAAAAAAAAGAAAAAUAUAAUUAAUAUAUAUAAAUAUAUAAUAACAAUCAUAAUGACAAACAAUUCUUGCAAAAAUCCAGUCAAAAACAAUCGAACUCUAUUACGGUAGAACCCUCUUAUUGCAAAACCUUUUAUUUUCAUCAUCACUGUUGCCGUAGCAAUGACUCCAUGACCUUUGCAACAACGGUCCUCUUCGUCCCAUCAAUCAGAGGUGACAGCUGUCAAUCACUCUGGCCACAGCACCACUGUCUCAGACAUCCAGCGAGUGUGUCCUGCUUGUCACCCUGCCCUGCCCAAUGUACACACACACACACACACACACACACACACGCACACACAUACACACAGCAUCCUCACUGUAUGUUUGUUUUCUACCUCUCGGGCUCUGCCUGGUCCCGGUGCUGUGUGCUUAUUUGCAGUACUGCUGCUGUUUUCUCGGAUACGUGGGCUAGCGUGACAGAUCUGGGUCUCUCUUGAUGUACUACUUGGCUAGCUGGGGCUGAUUCCUGGCCAUUACCAGUAGAUAACGAAUACUUAAAGAGAGUGAAUUGGAUCGGUAAAUCAGUGGCGAUGGAUGCAAAGUUUAUCAAUCGCCAUGUGAAGUUUUGCACUAACAUGAAUCUAAUUACUCAAAUUUCAUAGCUCUGAAAACCCUCUUCUUAUUUAUAUUUCUGUUUUUGUGCAUUUCUGCACCUAUCUACCAUGUCUGCAUGCCUCAGUAUGCACGUGUGUGUGCAGGCGUGUAUGAGCCUUUGUCUGCCUGCUGCGGGAUCUCACCGUCAAAGCAGGCUAAUAUUAGUGGAGACUGUGUGUGUGUGUGUGUGUGUGUGUGUGUCAACAGGGAGAUUUUAAAUUUGGUGGCAUCAGUGUUUUUUACUGGGGGGUUGCAUGCUGUAGAUCUCCAGCAGCUGUAUAGAGAUAGAAAAAUGGCACAAUGCUCCGUUUGCCAGAGAGCAGUCAAAGAGGAUUGGAGAUUAGCUGGGGUGCAGACACAGUCGGUCGAUCAGUCAGUCAGGGAGGGAGCAGAAGAAAAGCAAGAGGGCAGUGUGGUCUCAAGGAUUUUUCUUUUUUCCCCCCUUCCCAGUCUCUCCGGGCCCCGUCGCUGAUUUGUGCCUACAGUUGGUUGUACGUCGUCGCUCUCCUUCUCUACUCCAUCUGUCCCUCCCCCCAUCAUCUCUCCUCUUUCUCUCCUUCCUCCCUCCCUCUCUCUCACUCUUUCUCUCUCUCUCUCUCCAUACCAAAGCCUGGGGGAGCCAGUGGAGAUUAAAUGUAGCCUCUAUAAGCCAAAGCACAUCAUGUAGCAAUGUUUCUAUGGUCCCUUCUCUCUCACACGUUUUCUCUCUCUCUCUCUCUCUCUCUUUCUCUCUCUUUCUGACUGUCCUUCCUUUGCUAAAGGGAUAGUGUGAAUGAUGUCGGCUCGUGUGAGACACAGAAUAAGAGAAAAGAAAGAAAAGAGAAAGGGAGUGCAAGAACUGGAAAAUGGAUUUUUAGUUUUUUUUGCAUGCAGAACAGAGGAUUUGUUUUAUGGGUGGAAAACGGACAACGGCAAGCAGGAAGCGAGCUAGAAGAACAACGGGCAAGGGGGCAUCCUGGAUCCGAAGGGGAGGGCUCUCGGGAGCUGAGAGGGAUGCACGGCCAUCUCCCACACGUUCCUGCCUCGAACAGUGCCGAUCAGAAGGGGAAGGCCAUGGCGCAGUGAGCUAAGGCGUUCACUGCACGCUCACCAUGUCACACUUUUCAGUUUGGCUCACACCCUGCUGUAUGUUGCAUGUCACCUGGGUUUAUCUCUUCUCUGUCUGCUGCACCGGGCAUCGUUGCACAUCAUUAAAUGUAGAUUGAGUAGAUACUGCAGAUUGACUAUAUACUGUUGAAAUCUCUGGGGUUUGGAGGAUGGGGAUGUAGUGGCAUGAAUGCUGUUUUAAGGAUCAUGUGACAAAGUUAAGGCAGGAUGAGCUGAGCCAUCUAGAUGAAUUGCAGGAAACUGUCAUCUUCUAGCAACAGAGGCCUCAUUGUAUCAGUAUUGGCUAUUGACACGAGGGCUACAUUAUUUUUUGCAGUUGCCUAAAUUUAACCAUCAAAUAUUAGUCAUUAUUGCCAACCUUUAAUGUGAUGCUACUUGUUUGCUCACAUAUAAGCAUUUUGAUCCGAUUCCACACAAGUAAGACAUAUAAAUGACUUUUAUUCUGCUUUUCAAUGGAUAGUUUUAAUGUUACGUGGCCUAAAUGCUAUUUUAAAUGACUUCCCACUUCAGUGGAAUAACAUAUCUUUCAGGUUUUAAGCAUCACAGCUAAUUAUUUAGCAAUCCAGUAGCAUAACAAUUAGCACAGUUACCUUUAAAAAAACAGCUUCAGGUGAAAUGCUAAUUGGAUGCAAUGUCAAUGUUUGUUGGCAUCCUGAGCCACUAGCUGACUAAAACUAAUAGGCAGUGGCACUGCUGCUGUUAAAGAAAUAGCAGCUGGUUAGCAUCAGUAGCUUAUGAGAGAUAAUGCUAAUGCUGCUGUGAUAGCAUUAACCUCUUCAUACACCAGUGGAUACUGUUAGGUAAAGAAGCUUCUGUCAGUGUGAUAGCUCUUUGUUUCUCCAGCGGGCAUGGCUGUCUGUGUGUGUGUGUGUGUACCUUUCUGACUUGAGAGCAGCACAGAGUAAUGUUGAGAGCGUGACCAUGACAGCUCUGUACAUUAUGUGCUUGACCUCAAUGAACCCUCAACGAUGUUAAAACUCACUCACUCAUGCUAACACAACUAAGGUGGCAGUAAGAACACACUCACCAGGCAGCUAGUGAUGUCCACUGAGAAUAAUCUGCAGCGCCUUUUGUCGCUAGACGACGGCGAUGACAUCGCCACCGUCCGUGAUUCAUAUGUGAAGUGCUUCUGAAUAUGCAACUGAUUUUGGUGUCGACCUGCAACCAGAGUGGCAAGCACCCUUCGUACUCGAUAGUAACAGUUCAGUUAGUGAUAGUAGCAAAGUAGCACAUGGCGACUCUUAAGGGCACAUGUCCAUUUUCAUGUGAGCCGUGAGGUUCUUUUCUUUCUCCGACUGGUAAUUGAAGGAUUCGUUUACCAUGUUGUCGCCCUCAUUUGCACCGUGCAGUUUGCUCUCAGGGGUCCAUCACUCUCCUGAGAUCCAUUUGCAGCAUAUUGUUUAGAAGCAGCUCUUUGACACCAUGAUUCAUCGAUAUUUGACUUAGGCCCAUCACACCAUAACUAAUAUCUUUUUUAAUGGGGCGUAGCGGGAAUUUUGAUGAUAACUCAACUUCAUGGAUGCUUCCCUUCAUUGAAAUGAAUGCUAAACUCCAUGCACUUGUGGAUCUAAGAUUUUAGGCAGUGGAAAUUGUGCUGGGUGCUAGACAUUAGUUGUGCUAAUGUCUACUGUAAGGCCCUACAAAGAUGCUUAUGAAAAACGUAUUUUUUGGUUGUUGUUUUACAUGAUGUAAUGUUAGAUAUUACGUUAUUACAUUCUAAGAUUUGUAUACAAAUCUUUUUUUUAUUCAGACACGCUUGAAUUCAAAGACAUUUCAAGUCAUUGUGAUGCUGAAGCUUUAUUUAUUUUGAUCUUUUUGACAUAAUGGACAUGUUUGCUUUUACUCUUGGCCUUGAAAGCUAUAUUUAUAAUUUUCCCUCCCUCAGUGCCAUUUCUUCCACUGACAAAAGCUGGAUAUGAUGUGCUGAUGUGUUGCAAAAGAUGCUUCAUUCUCAAUGUAUGUAUCAACCGGGAUUGUGUGGAGUCCCGCAGAUGCUUCCAUCCUGUUGUUAAUGAACUAAUAUGGAUUUUAACUUGAACCCCCUCUGCACUGCUAAUCUGCUGCUUUAGCAAUUAUCUUAUGUAACCCCUCUGUCAGCCCUCUCUCUCUCUUUUUCUACCAUCUCUCUGCCUCAAAAUCGUUUUUUAUUUGUUCAGUUCGGUGAAUAAACAAUAACCUGGAGCGAGUUAGUGUCUAGCCGGUAAGCUCGAAAAGGGGCUGCAGGCUUGCUCUCCAUUGUUCGGCUGCAUCGCAGACUGUCUGUACACUGUGUCCCCAUGGCCGAGGCAGAAAUGGAGGACAGACAGACAGACAGACAGACAGACAGACAGCUGUUUCAUCGCCUCAAUGUUGAUAGAAUUUUUUGCGAAAAAGCAUAUAUGCCGAUAAGUGUCGUCAUCUCCUGACACAAUGGAGAUGAUGCGGUUUGCAUGUGCUGAAUUCCGAACAUUUGAGACAGAUUCAAUGAAAAUGUUCUUCUGUGAUUGAGUGGUGACUCUUUGGGAACCUUUAACCCAGCAGCUUCAGGUGUGUCAGUCAGUAAAACCUGCAAUGACACCUGCUUUACUGAACCUGUACCAAUAAAUCUCAGAGAUUUACUAGAUUAUAGAUAGAUAGAUUUCAGUUUCAGUUUGGUAUCCCAAAAUGGUCUAAAUGCAACUUUUGUGGCUCAAAAUAUCCGUAUCAGUUGAUUCCAAAUGCCAGCAGGCAGCUUUUGAUUGAUUGAAGUCCAUUUUAAGGUUGGACUUGUUAAGGCGGACUGUGAAAGAUGCAGUCAAAAGGGAGUGUGUAAUAGUUCAAGUGUAUGUUAGGAGGGCAUGUUGGAUGGGUUGCUGCAGGGUUACGCCCAAAGUGCCUCAGGAAAAUGUUUCGCACGUUUAGAUAAAAAUAAAUGUUAAAAUAUUGAUCAGAGAGAUUGAUAAGAGAGAGAAAAAAGCAUUGAACGAGGCGACAGAAGGCUACGAUAAGCCUACACAUCUCUUUGUGGCAGCAGGGGUGGUUUCUCUCUGUGUCACCAUUCUGCAGUUUUUUCUGCCACUCCCUUCAACGCACUGCCUCGGCUCAGCUAAAGGCGUGUGAAGCACACUCAUCAAUAAUCAGAGCUGGUCAGUGCUUGUGUGUGUGCUUCCUUAAGUAUCUGUCAGCAUGUCUGUAAUGUCUGUUUGUGUGUGUUUAGCAGUUCUUCGCACUGCAGAGGGGUUCACUACCCCUUCCUUCCAGUCUGUCGGUGAAACAAGAUGGCGUCGCAGCUCCACGUGGGCCCUCCCACGCUGGUUAAUGCCCAUUACCUAUGCCACCGGAAAGCCAUAGGUACACCUGGGGCGUAUUUACUCACCACCACAUAGCUGAAAUUGCUGCGGCGCUUCUCAGUACUGUAGCUUGGCCAAUUUUAGGGCAUUUACGAUUUGGGGCAGAUCCAGUGUUUUCCUUGUUGUUUUUUAUCACUGUCUGUGUAUCAGCUGCCAAACUUUUGUCUGCAAUUUGGGCGCUUAUAAAUGUGCUGGAGGGGUGAACGAGUACGUUUUCACCACAAUAUAGCAUGAUCGGAGGAGCCUAAGACCCAAGAUUUUCAGUGACAAUGACUGACUGAUUGUUGUGCAUCUGACAAUAAAUAAAUAAACUGAAACUCUGUGUGUGUGUGUGUGUGUGUGUGUGUGUGUGUGUGUGUGUGUGUGUGUGUGUGUGUGUGUGUGUGUGUGUGUGUGUGUGUGUGUCCGCUCUGACUCCGGCUAAGGCCAGUUUAAAGGAGCUUUGGGAUAGUGCGCACAGCCACAUCACACCAGCAGAUUAACCAGACUACACAUUAUUAAUCUGAGAGAGACUAAUGUCACCAACAAUGUGUCAGCACUCACACAUACACAAAAACACACUUAAAAAAACGUAGUUAAAUCUGUGCACUUUUUCUCUUCCUUAUAGUAACCCAGGUAGUGGUGUGACUGGAGGCCGAGGCAGAGCCUGUCUCCUCUUCAGUGUCAGUGUUGCCCUGCUCCAUGUCAUGUUGGAUUUAAAGACAGGCUGGAAAUCCCCUGAUGAAUCCACAUUUAACCCUUUGCUGCCACGUCAACCAAGAAGCUAAAGAAAUACUUUUGUUUGGGCGUUUGAAGGAGAAGAGCUUAAGCAUGUUAGCUGCGGUUAACAUUUUGGAUCAUUUUCUACCUCAACAGCCUUAUUACCAGGAAGCUGUGCAGAUGUGAUCAGCUAUUGUGUGUCUGCACAGAGAGAUAUUUGAUUUGGGGGUUUCAAGUUGGUUUCUUAUUCUUUUUUCAACUGAGUUGGCAAUAUUUUGAGGAACUGUAUCUGUAAUCUAUUUGAUGGUGACGGGCAUGUCACGCAGCAGCUGGAUCACAACAAGAUAUACCACCAACAAAUCUUACACAAUUUGAGACUUAGACUCUAUCUGAAUUGUUUAAGAAGAUGUUAAAACAUAUACAUACCUGUAGUACCAUAACAAUCUUUGAGACAAUAUGGAAAUUUCUUUUUCAUGAAUUUUACUUUUUUUCACAAUUCUUUUAGUCUAGAGCUGCAACAAAAAGUUGAUUGAUCAAUCGGUCGAUUGACGAAUCUCUAAGAUAAACUUGUAAUCCCCACACAAGGAAAUUGAAGUGUCACAGCAGCAAAAGGAAGUAUAAGACGAGAUGCACAGUAUUUAAAAAAAAAAAAAAAAAAAAAAAGCUACGAUACUACAUACAUUGUUUUUAUUCUAGAAUUGAAUUCUAUUUUGUAUGGCUUUUUUUUUUUGCUUCAUGGGAAUCCUGACUAAAUGUUAUGUUUAACAACAACAUAACAUAUGAUAACACCAUUGUCUUCCUUGUAAUAAAUAUAGCAGUAAUGUAAGAGAAGUACAGUAAGCCCAGUGUUCUCUUCAGAGGCCUAGUAUUGAAAUAGAGACGUCUUACAGACGUAAUUAAAUAAAUGUAAUUUCACUUGAUUGUCAAGUCUUGUGAUGCUUAUCAGUAGAAGCUCUAAAUGAGUUGUGGGAGUUUUCUAAGCAGACAUGUCAUCCGUCUUGUUUUAUAUUUUUAUCUUUGGAGUUCAUUUUUUUACCUUUUUAAAGUCUUGAAUCUGUUACAACAAGAUUAAUUCUUCGGUGUGAUUUUUGUUUCUGCAGAGCUGCCAAGAUGUAUUACAACAUCCUUUCUGCUGACCACGACGACAUCGGACAGUAAAUGGGCCGAGAAAAAAAGACAUUAAUAAAGACAGUUGACAAGCAAGUUCUCAGUAGACAGGAUGCUUGCAGUAAUUAAUCCAUAUGAUCUGAAAUUGGAUGUAUCCAUGGUCCAUGGUAAAAGGGAUUACAGUACCACAUUACUACAUUUAAUGAAUAGACCUAUGCCAUAUAUACAGUUAAUAUUUAAUUAGUAAUUAUUCAUUUUAUUUGAGAAUAAAACUGCAAACGUCAGCAGUAGGCCUACCACUGUGGUGGGCUGCAUGUACUGUACUGUAGGCCUAUGUAUUGCACAUUCUGACACAGCUGUUAAAUAGCUUUUUCUUUCUCUCUCUUCCAGCCUAUUAGACCAGGUCAGGACAUGUCGGGGAAUGGUACAUGAACAUGAGACGGAUAUGACAACCAUACUGAAGCAAGUCUCAACUGUUCAUAUACACGCAUACUGAGAUACUAAGAUGUUUUCCAUAGUAAUUUACAUGUAUUUUCCUUUGUAAAACAAAAUAUAUUUAAUGCUAAUAAAAUAUUUAUUAAAAAUACCUUCCUUUUGUAUUUUUCCAAGAAAUGCACCAUUCUAAAAUUGUAUCAUCCUUAGCAUAUUGAGUAUAUAUGCUAGUAUUUGAUAUGUGAGGCAUAGCUAUGUGUUCGUAUUUGACAUGCCUUAACAGCUCCAUGCUAACAUUUUUGACACAUAGUAUGUUUAGCGAUAGCAGGCAUCAUAUUAACACUUAUGUGAUAGUAUAUCACAAACUAACAUUUUAGUGUACACUAUUCUGGGAAAUAAUGCCUCAUGCUAGUCUUGGUCUGUUACAGUAGCAUACACAGUGUUGAGUGGUAGAAGGCUUCUUAACCCUUUAUAACAUACUUACAUUAUACUAUAUGAUAGCAAAUUCAAAGCUAAUAUUCACAUUUACACUACUGAGUGGUAAUGCUCUGUGCUAACACUUUAGUUAGUAAGCAUUAAAGUAAGACUAAUAAUGCUAACAUUAUAGCAUUCAUUAAGUGAGUGAGCCUCUAUGCUAUGCUAUAAUUCCACCCUUGUAUGUUCUAUGAUGCUGCAGAUUAUCAAUCCAUGGCAUUUAUUCCAGUUCAUUCAAGUUGUUCAGUGAUGACGUGUCAACUUUUUGUGGUGUCCACUUAACCACAACCGGCCUCCUCUACCUCAGUGAUUCACCACAUUUCCAAGAAUGACUUUUAACACCCCUAAGAGUUCCUGCCUGGACUUGUUAUUGCCAGCUUUUGGAUUUAAAUUGGAUACAGUGAUAACGACAGGGAAAUGGGCACAUACUGUCAGGCUGAUACAGACAGAGAGUUAGUAACUGAAACAGUGACAUUUUCUGACUAAAAAAACAACUCAGCCAUGACUCUUCUUCAGAGCACAGCAUGUCCUUUAGCUGUACUGCAUUAUAGGUAUUUAGGGCUACUGUAAAAUAGAUAGCUCUUGCUUUUUCUAAGCUUAUUCAGCUUAUUAUGAAAUUAAUUAUUGUAGAAAGAAGCCCUACAAUGCAAAAA